CAGGCUGUGCGGUAGCUUCUAUAAAAGCGCCUCGCGCCCGCUUCUCUGCCUCAUUCCUCGGACGACUUACUGAUUAACAACUUAAAACACUCAAAAAUACAGACGGCUCUUCAAAGAUGAAGGAUCACGAUGCUCAUCCUGACUUCUCGACAUCAGCAGAUGCUUGAUGGUGCUGUGAAAGCCCAGAGAUGUGACUGGUCUGUAGGGGACUGAGGAGGUGUCCUCAGGUCCGAGUCCUAUCGCUAACAGACGGUCCUGAUGUUGGAUCCAGAUGUGCAUUCUUGGAUCAGCUGCAGGAGUCCCACAAAAGGCAAAGUGGAGAUGUGAACACCUUGCUGUCUGACUCGUUGCUGCUCUGCUGAACGAGCGGGCUCGCGACUCAUCACCAUUCAGAAGAUGAUUAAACACUCAUGGUUCUGUGUGAGGGAUGGAGACCCAGUGUGGACCACACCAGAGUGACUGAGAUGGGGAAAAGUUCAAGUUCUUUACCUGGUGUGAAGCCUCAGACACUGAAGCACAAUCAAGCACAAGUCUGUCACUUCAUAAUAAAUCUAAAUGGUGCUGUUUCCUCAAAAGCUGGAAAGUGAUGUUGACAGAUUUUCACCUGCAGGAAUCGGUGUUCAGACCCUGCUCGUGCUAUUACGUCUGGAUUGUGACCUGAUCCUGUUGACUUCAAUUUGUAACAAUAAAAUAUUUGUUAUUGACU